rnacentral:rRNA from 1 species
GAUGAACGCUGGCGGCGUGCCUAAUACAUGCAAGUCGAGCGAACGGACGAGAAGCUUGCUUUUCUGAUGUUAGCGGCGGACGGGUGAGUAACACGUGGAUAACCUACCUAUAAGACUGGGAUAACUUCGGGAAACCGGAUCUAAUACCGGAUAAUAUUUUGAACCGCAUGGUUCAAAAGUGAAAGACGGUCUUGCUGCCACUUAUAGAUGGAUCCGCGCUGCAUUAGCUAGUUGGUAAGGUAACGGCUUACCAAGGCAACGAUGCAUAGCCGACCUGAGAGGGUGAUCGGCAACACUGGAACUGAGACACGGUCCAGACUCCUACGGGAGGCAGCAGUAGGGAAUCUUCCGAAAUGGGCGAAAGCUUGACGGAGCAACGCCGCGUGAGUGAUGAAGGUCUUCGGAUCGUAAAACUCUGUUAUUAGGGAAGACCAUAUGUGUAAGUAAAUGUGCACAUCUUGACGGUACCUAAUCAGAAAGCCACGGCUAACUACGUG